rnacentral:rRNA from 1 species
UGCCUACGGGACGCAGCAGUAGGGAAUCUUCCACAAUGGGCGAAAGCCUGAUGGAGCAACGCCGCGUGAAGGAAGAAGGCUUUCGGGUUGUAAACUUCUUUUGUCAGGGACGAAGCAAGUAACGGUACCUGACGAAUAAGCCACGGCUAACUACGUGCCAGCAGCCGCGGUAAUACGUAGGUGGCAAGCGUUAUCCGGAUUUACUGGGUGUAAAGGGCGUGUAGGCGGGGAAGCAAGUCAGAUGUGAAAACCACGGGCUCAACCUGUGGCCUGCAUUUGAAACU